rnacentral:rRNA from 1 species
UACGUAGGAUGCAAGCGUUGUCCGGAAUUAUUGGGCGUAAAGAGCGCGCAGGCAGGUAUGACAAGUCAGAUGUGAAAGAGGCCCGGCUUAACCGGCAAGGGUCAUUUGAAAACUGUCAGACUAGAGUGCAGCAGAGGAUAGUGGAAUUCCCGGUGUAGUGGUGAAAUGCGUAGAUAUCGGGAGGAACACCAGUGGCGAAGGCGGCUCUCUGGGACGGUACGUGACGCUGAGACGCGAAAGCGUGGGAGCGAACAGG